CCUACGGGUGGCAGCAGUGAGGAAUAUUGGUCAAUGGACGAGAGUCUGAACCAGCCAAGUAGCGUGAAGGAUGACUGCCCUAUGGGUUGUAAACUUCUUUUAUAUGGGAAUAAAAUGUUCCACGUGUGGGAUUUUGUAUGUACCCUAUGAAUAAGGAUCGGCUAACUCCGUGCCAGCAGCCGCGGUAAUCCGGAGGGUCCGAGCGUUAUCCGGAUUUAUUGGGUUUAAAGGGAGCGUAGGUGGAUUGUUAAGUCAGUUGUGAAAGUUUGCGGCUCAACCGUAAAAGUGCAGUUGAAACUGGCAGGCUUGAGUACAGGAGAGGUGGGAGGAAUUCGUGGUGUAGCGGUGAAAUGCUUAGAUAUCACGAAGAACUCCGAUUGCGAAGGCAGCUCACUGGACUGCAACUGACACUGAGGCUCGAAAGUGUGGGUAUCAAACAGGAUUAGAUACCCUUGUAGUC
rnacentral:rRNA from 1 species